CUCUCCAUUAACGUUUCCUUCCCACAAAACUGGGUGCUCGCAGGGGAAGAACUGACAAGCCAAUCUUGUAUCCCAAGCACCUGACAGAUAUUAGAUAUUUAACAGUUAUUUGAUAAGCAAAUAAAGAAUAGGCUGACUAGAAUGGAAAAAUAAAGCUUCCCAACAAACACAAAAAUAAUCCCAAGCAACCUCGGCAAUCAUAAACUAACAACGACAGUAACCCCUGAACAAUAAUCAUGGAAACUUUUGCAGAAUGCCAGAGAAAGGCUUUCGGGGCAAUGCUUAGCUCUGUGAACUCUGCCUCCAGCACACGCGCACCUGGACGUAUGUGCUCACGUAGGCUGCGGGAACUGUGAAAACAGUUGUUACAAUUGCUCAGAGCGAUGAGCACUAGCCACGAGGCAGAACUGAGGAUGCAGAGAAACAGCACUGUUACGGGCACCUAACGAAUGAUCAAUCACUGAGCGGUAGCCGAUCAGAUGUCGUUGUGAUUUGUACCAGAAAUGCCUGGUUUUCUGGAUUCUGUAGCACCCAUCCACCUCUGGGAAAUCACAAUCCUGCUGAAACAGGGUCAGAGCCCCUCUGUUCCAGGCUGUCUCCAUUCCUUCCGGGCUCCUUGUGGAGCUAGAACCCCGCAAUCAUAUUUUCUUGGGUUAUCAAACAUCUCUUUCCUGUGGUCCCUGGAGGAAGCUGAUUGUGUCACUGAGUGACGCAAAGAGCACGCUGCAUUUCAACCCUUGGCGUCUUUCCUCCUCCGGAGCUUAGCUGUUCCCUUCCUGGUCUUCUAACACACUCUCUGCAUGGCCCGAGCCUACAGUCUGGAGACUCCGUCAGAAGAUAUUUCCUGCCUCUGCAUUUUCCCCAAGCCUUUCUUCUGAGCUACAUCCUCCAGCCCUUUCCUAGUGUUUAUCUUGAGACACUGUGAUAAGAGAUCAUGAAAUCAUCCCAGCUGACUUUGAGUUUGUGAUCCUCUCGCCUCAGCCUCCCACAGUGCUGUGAUUACAGAAGAAUUCAUGUGUGAUUCCAGGGUGAGUUCUCACCGCAGCAGGAACCUCUGCUACUCACACCACGGUGCCUUGGCCGCAGAUGUGCGGAGAAAUUCUCUGCACCCCAGAAUCCCUAACGUUCCCUGACACCCUUUGAUGUUCCGUCCCAGAGCCUCCUGCUAGUCCUUACAGUGUGCUCAGUGUACACAAACGACCUCGAGCCGUGUGGCAGCACUGAGAUGCACAGGGUCAGCCCUCGACCGACUAGACCCUAGUCCUGAGUGAUAAAUUCUCCAGCCUCCCACACAGCAGGUUCUUGGGAAAGCCUAGCGGAUCCAGCCUUGUGAGCUACAGCACCAAUCUUUUUUUUUUUAAGAGGAAAAAUCCCAGUAAAAACAAUGAUAGAUUUCUCAAAUGACCAAUGCUGAAUCUUGUUUCAUAUAUUUAUUUGCCAUUUGUAUUUCCUCAUCUGAGAAUUUUGUAUUCAUCUCCAAUGCCCAUUUGUGGGUUGGGAUUUUAAACUACACUGAGAUAUCAUCUCACUCCAGAAAGAAUGGCUAACAUCAAGAAAUUAACUAAUAAUAAAUGCUGGAAGAGCUGAGGAGAAAAAGGAACUCUUCUCCAGGGUUUGUGGGAGUACAGACUGGUGCAACCACUGUGGGAAUCGGUAUGCACAUUCCUCAAAGAACUAGGAUUAGAGGGCCCAUUGGAGCCAGCUAUUCCCCUUCUGGGUAUUUUCCCAGAAGAACUGAAACCAUCAUACCACAGCGAUAUAUGUGCACCCAUGUUUACAGCAGCACAACUUGUAAUAGCUAAAUCUUGGAAACAACCCAAAUGCCCAUCAACUGAGGUUUGGAUAAAAAAGAUGUGGUAUUUUUAUAUAAUGAAUACUACUUAGCCAUAAAGAAUAAUAAAAUCAAGGUUUUUAUUGGUAAAUGGAAGCAAGUAGAAACCAUAAUCAUUGGUGAAAUAAAUCAAACUUGUAUGUGUAAGCGCCUAUUAUCUUGCUAGUGUAAAAAACUGAAAGAGUAAAGAAGAUCCGAAUGUUACAAUAAAUAUAGUAACAGGGAAAGAAAAUACUCAAAGGGAAACUUUAUUGUUCGUUCUUGCAUGCCUGUCUCUGGUAACCUGAGCAAUUAAUUUGAGGAUAACAAUAUUCAAUAUAGCAACGAAUGAUAUCGUCUUGGUUUGGUAUCCUAUAUUGCCAUUUUUUGGUUGUUGUCAUUUUGUUUUUGUUGUUGUUGUUUAAUUGUUUGUUUGAGUGUUGAUUUUUCUGAUUUUUUUCUCUUUAAAAAAAGUUAAAAAAAUAAAAACAAUGAUACAAAAUUUCAAAACAAGAUAGUAAGAGUAACAAUGGUUAAUGCUUUGGAUAUUGUUUUCUUUAAAGUAGGUGCUCAGAUUACAAAGAUAUAGGCAUGAAAAAUUGAUAAAAUAAUAUAAGCACUAAACUUUCUUUUCAAUGAAGUAAUAGUAGUAUAACUACCUUAACUAUCGUGGAACAUAUGUGUGUAUGGGGUGUGUGUGUGUGUGUGUGUGUGUGUGUGUGUGUAACUUAUUUUUCCCUUCCUUUUUUUCUCCUUUCCCCCAUCCCAGUUUCUCUUUCUUUUUGAACAGUUCUUCCCAUUUCACAGUAUCCAUUGUGCAUUUUGAAUCUUAUUUACUGUUUCAGUUUCUUACACCAGGGAGACAAUAUUUACACAUGCAAGUCUGAUUGAUUUCACUUAUGAGUACAGUCUCAAGUUGCAUCCAUUUGCAUAUAAAAGUCUCAAGUUUGUUCCUCUUUAUGGCUGAGUAGUACUCCUUUGUAUAAAAAUACUGUAUCUUUUUUAAAAUCCAUUCCUCAGUUGGUGGACAUUUGGUUUGUUUCCAAGAUUUAGCUAUAAAAUUGCACAGCACUGAUCUUAAAUCGCACGCAUACUGAUUUUUCUUCGUUGCUGUUUGUUUUUCCAACCCCUUGCUCUCUGCUUCUGGAAAUCACCACCAAAUAAACCAGGGCUUUAAAAUGUCUU